AUUUCGGCAAGUAUAACAUUGUUCCCUUUUAUUGGACAAUUUUUGUUAUCACAUAAUUCCACAAUUGUGAACAAAGGAUCCAAGAUAUAUAGAAGCUCAGGAGCUUCUUAUCAGGGAAAGUUGAUUAAAUACUGGAUAUAUGCUAGGUAAUCAUAUACCAACAAAGUAAUAAGAAUUGAUAGUUCAAGGAUUAAAGCUUCGCUGCAAAAUUUUGAAUUUCCAUUUGCUUAUGAAACCUCAAUAACUUUUUCUUUCAAGAUUAGGAGCAAGCCGUGAUUUGUUUUUUCUCUGAAGCUUUCUACUUGAAAACAGAAUCUGAAUAAUGAUUGAUGAGUUGAAUAUUGUAAAAUUGAAUAAGUCAUAAUAUAUUCAGAAAAUCUUGUGCUUCAUGUCUAUUUCAAAGUUUGUCUCCUUUAUUUGGCUAGGAAUCUUUGGUGCGUAUAAUAACAUAGUG